AAGAUCUGAAGCUAUCUAAAAAAAAAAAAUCAGUGUGGCUCUCUGACCCCAAGUUCCAGAUCUGUCCUUCCAAGCAGUGUGCUUGCUCAAGGAAAUCAAUAAACGUGCUGGUUCUACUGGGGAGGGCUGAACAGCAGCUAGAGUUUCAAACCUUCUCCCGGCUGGGUUCUACGUGACCUCCGCUGAACUUCCUGCCCUUCUGCCUUUUCGUUCGAGAGGGGUCGCACGUACUCCCUGGACCGGAAGUCAGAGCCGGCGCCAUGACAGCAGGUUUUUAUGUGGUCCAGGCUUCGCCUGAGUGGAGUUUCAGAGCUGGAAAAGUGCAGUUGUGACCCACCGUCUACACAGAACUGGACAGGAAGACAAGAUCCUGAAAUACCCUCCAGAAACACAGACUGGUGUUUCUGUCCCUCUUCAGUCCAAACAAGGAAGCCAGGAAGUGCUGCCAGGCACUCCUUGGAUGUUCUGUGACGUCUGCUCAUCUCCUCAGCAAGUCUCCUAGUGUCCUACAGUUCCUUCUUACUCUGGAGUAACUAUGGCAGGAUCUCUUUCCCCACUCAGCUCCGGGGGGACACUGAAGUCAGUUUCAGCUUUGAGAGUAUUCUGAAUAAAGUCGCAUGCCUCUUCUUGGUCAUGUGCUCACUCAUUCAUGUCACACACACACACACACACACACACACACACACACACACACACACACCUCAAUCUUAAUUUCACCAGGUUGAAAUGUAUCUUUGGGGAAUAAUCAAAAGGUCUAGGCCUGGAAUUAAUGAGGUGAUCAACAGAAUAAAUAGACUUCCCUUUCUCUGCGGAGGUAUGAAACAGAAAAAAAACAACAACAACAAAAACAAAAAACAAAAAGCAAACAAACGCUAUGACAUGCUCACUGCUACACCUCCUCCUUCCCCAAUCAAAACUCGUUCCCCUGGCGUACUGUUCUGUUCCUGUCCUUUGCAAGAUAUUAUGUGUUGCUCAUUGAGAAGAGCGUGCUCUUUGAAAAGUACAGUGUUCUGUAUAAAUGCAGGGCGAUGUCCUCGUUAUCAUGAUUACUUCUGCAGGGAAAGAAAAGGAGGGGCCAGAGAAGCUGAAGUUCCUCCUCUAGCCCCAUCCCUCCUGUGGCGUCUGCUAACUGAUCCGUGGGGCGCCUCAGUGAGGUGUCGAUAGUCAGGUCCGACCAGAGUAUUGUCUGAAGACAUCAGGAAUAACGCAGGCAGAAUGAUUCAAAAAGAAAUCAAUCGUCCUAAAAAUAGCAAAGAGAAGCUCCCAGGAUAAUGCCUUCGUGUGGGAAAGAGGACUGACUGGUGAUCUGCACUGGAAGUUGAGUGUUUGUAAAUGUCUAUGUAGAAAGGCGAGUCUAGGUAGAUCAGCUUUGAGGAGGGACGUGCAAACUGGAUAGACUUCCACAUUCAGGCCUCUCAGCAGCCUUGGGCAACGCUCACACUCUGCUAGCACCCACACCUUUCUAGAAUCUUGCAGGGAAGGCAGAACACGGGAAGGGUCCACAUCUGAUAUAAGAAGAAUCACCCAGGAACUAGGCAUAACAGCACCCACCUGGAAUCCCAGCACCGGAGGCAAUCAGCUCUCUGUGAGUUCAAGUCCAGCUUGAUCUACACAGGGAAUUCCAGGUCAGCUGGGCUACAUAGUGAGAUUCUGCCUCAAAGAGAGGCGAAGAAGGCAAAGAGGAGGAUGACCCAGGAGCAUGGUAGUGCGUGCCUGGAAUCCUACCCAGCACUCGGAGAAGAUGAUCCCAAGUCCUAGACCAGCCUGGGCUAAAGAGUGAGAUGAUGUCUCAAAUGAAUAAGUAAAUUCAUACGGACAUACAAAUAAAACCAACUGAUAAGUGAGCAGAUGCUAUUGUGCGGCUCUCUCUGAGUGUGAGCUCUUCAGAACUCUGUCCCACCAGACUGCCGCUUACACAGUGGCUGCUCCCUGGAGGACUGCUAUAGCUGUCCCAGUGGCAGUGUUCUGAGUAGGAUCUCAGGUGCUGCCUGUACCUAAGCCACACUAGCAGACCUCCCUACCGAUUCUCUGAGAAUCCAAGGUCGUUUUUAGUCAGGGUGACACAGUUAUACUGUCUAUCACCACAUAAGAUUUUUCCUACUCUGACCCCUAAGGGUGUCAGUGUUGCCUACUUUGUAAAAAUAGCCGACCGGAACUGGCAUAGGUAAUCCAAUGAACAAGCAAGACGUAAACAUUUUUGAUUUGGUUGGUUUGGGUUUUUUCUUGAGUCAGGGUUUUUCUGUGUAACAGCUCUGGCUGGCUUUGAACUCACAGAGAUCUGCCUACCUCUGUCUCCCAAGUGCUGGGGUUAAAGGCGUGGGCCACAUUGCCUGGCUAUAGUUUGGAUUAUUUAUAUUGGUAAGAAGCAGGAUAUGUGGCUAUUUAGUGGGUGAGGGUUCAUGUGUAUAUGUGUGUUUCUGUGUAUGUGUGUGUGUGCUCAAGUUGUCCACACUGGCACAUGUGUGUUUGUUUGUAUACAGGUAGGACAAGGUCUGGUGUCAUUCUUCAGGUGCCAUCCACUAUUCUAGCUAUUCUGUGAGUUCUGGGGUAUGUGAGAAGCUCAAAAAUAUAAGAUAGAGAACAAUUGAAACAAUUGGUGAAGAUACCUAAUGUGGUUCUCUGGCCUACACACGCACACACAUACACACACACACACACACACACACAGACAUACACACACACAAACACACAGACAUACACACAGACAUACACACAGACACACACAAACACAUAGACAGACACACACACAAACACACAGACACACACACAAACACAAACACACACAGACACACACAGACACAUACACACAAACACAAACACACACAGACACACACACAUAUACAAACACACACACAAACACACACACAAACACACACAGACAUACACACACACACACAAACACACACACACAAACACACAGACAUAUACACACACACAAACACACACAAACAUACACAAACACACAGACAUACAAACACACACAUACAAACACAAACACACACAGAAACACACAGACACACACACAAACAAACACAAACACAUAGACACACACACAAACACAAACACACAGACACACACACACACAAACACAAACACACAGACACACAAACAUACACAAACACAUAGACAUACACACACACACAAACACACAGACAUACACACAGACACACACACAUAGACACACAGACACACAGACACAUAUACACACAGACACCCUUUCACACAGCAUAUAUACACAUGUGCACACACAAAUACAUGUACACACAUACACAGAUGCACAUACAUGCACACAUACAUACAAGUACACACAUGUACAUAUUUUCAAGUACACAUGCCUGUAUACAUGCACAUGCACAUACACCUUCAGCAUGCAGCAGUGUAGAGGCAACACGCCUUCUCACAAAAACAUGGAAUCAGAUGAGUUAAAGAAAUUAUUUGCGGGGUUGGGGAUUUAGCUCAGUGGUAGAGCGCUUGCCUAGCAAGUGCAAGGCCCUGGGUUUGGUCCCCAGCUCCGAAAAAAAAAAAAAGAAAAGAAAAGAAAAAAAAAAAGAAGUUAUUUGCCCAGCAGCCUAACUUUCCCAAAGGACAAACCCUGCUGUUAUCUGGUUUUGCUCUGUGUGGAAGAAGAUGGUAGGUCUGUUCUAGGGAUUAGCCACUGCAGCAGGGAGGUGGAGGUGGGCAGGUGGGUAGCCUGCCAGGUAGUCUAUGCCAGGAAACAUGGCUGCAUUGGUCCUAGAAAGCCCCCAGUGACCUGGGGUUUGCCAGGGACUCUGGGACUGGAGCAACAGAACAUCCAGCAUGGGUAACGAGGUGACAGCCAGGGAGAAUUUCUUGUCAACAGUUCCCCAGGUGACUUCUUAUCCUCACACAGGGACAUCCACAGGCGUGGCCUCGCUGUUGCCAGCAUUUUGCUGUGAACAAGCAGCAUGGGUGACAAUUCACAGGGCUAGCCCCUGUACCGGCAAGGACAAGCAAACCCAGAAAGAUGUACCUGCUCGUCAUAGGGGUUGAAGGCAGACUCAACUCCCACUCCCCCGCCCCUCGUUAACGUUUCAGACCAGGCGUCCAACUCAGGGGUGCCUCACAAAAGAAUUUGAUAGGAAGAUGUGACACCUCAUUUUAAAUUCCUUCUCUGCAUUCCUGAAGUUGACGGAGUGUCGGGAAGGGAGACUGAUAAAGUCCCCUGUCCCCUCCAAGUGGACUAAUCAGACGUGAAGUCUUGGCGAGAGAUAACCACGGAAUAGCAGAGUCAAAAUGACAUCACAUCAAUUCCGUUUCAGAUCCUGUCCACACUGGUGCCUAUCACUGCUCUAGGUGGCUGCACCCUCGACACACAAGAGGUUUGUCAAACCAGGAUGUCUGCCCCCCCUUGACCCUGGAGCCGUCACUCUGGGGUAUGCUGGGAGCACCGUCAUGAUGUGUGAGUCACACACAGUAAGGGGAGAUCCCUCCAGAGGUGAAGCUGUGUUGUAUGCUCUCCUCACAGGAUUUUAGCAGGAAGUUCUUACCAUGGGCAUCAAAGACAGGGUCAGAGUUGGCACCCAGAUAAGGACAGUGGCAGGUCCCCUCAGAAGCAAGUGGCUGCCAUUCGACCCUUACCCACUGGUUUGUAGAGAGAAUUGAGUCUGUGUAGUUGAAGGAUGGGUGAAAGAAACAAACGACACCUUGAGCAGGUUUGGAGGCCAUAAUGAAUGCCUAUCAGUUUAAUUAUGGCUCCAUCUUCAGCUGACACGGUUCUUUCCUCUUCGAAUUAAAAUAUCCAAGCAACUUGAAAUGGACGAGUAAUGAAUUUUUCAUGUUCUGCGCCCUGCCUCGCCUCCUGGCUCGGGGCACGGCUACCACCGCACUCCGAGCUCAUCUCAAUAGCUAGUCAACAUGGCGUGCGAGAGUCAUCUGUGUGACACAGAUAACUCGGCAACGGCACCACGUAAAUGAGAUGCAUAGCGUCUGGAUGGCGCAGAAGAUAAAAGUUCUCCGAACUUCUUGUUUAAUUUACAGCCACGGAUUUCCCUCCUGUGCUUAAGAUUUCAAAAUAGUAAUCACGUUCUGAAGAGGACAUGUCCCCACUCCAGGUACUAAUAUCAAUAUGUAAAAGAAAGCCAUUAACUAGAUGCACCUCUCAGCGGCUCCUAUUAUAUGUCAACAAGCUAACUGAGGUGAUAAAACAAACUGUUAGUGGAAAUUUAAUUACUAGCCAUUGAGAUUUGGGCAAGAGCUGGGAAUUCUAGACUCAUUACUCUGGCACUGGAGACGGCUGGAAGCAGCCAUCCGCCUGGAACGAACAUUUUUAAUAGGUGUUUUCCUUCUCUGGGAACCAUCGGUGCACCGAAGGCCACUCGGAAACUUUUCAAAACGGGUCCUUCCGUGAUUGCAGGGGUAACAUGCAAUGAGGGCCGGAAAGACGGAGAAAAGCCGUGAAACCAUCCAACGACAGCACCUCCAGGUAGGCGCCUAGGGCCAGUGUGGGGUCUUUGAGGUCAUUUCUGGAAACGAUUUCUGGGUAUUUAAUUGUGUCAGGUUUCUGGCCCAUGGCCACUUCUCCAGCUGGUGUGAUGAAAAUUUAUAUUAUGAUACAAACCAGAGCACUGCCCUCUGUAAAACUGGCCGUUCCUGCUCCCUUCCUCUAGAUGUCGGGUCUAGACCAGUCUUGAUGCCCCACCCUGGGUACCCUGAGUUGCACUGCAGGCUCCUUGUCUCCCACUGAAACCCCAGUCAUUUGUCCGUGGCGUGUGUGUACACAUGGUAUCCAGUGAUUGGCUGGGUGUAGGAUAGAUGCCAGCCUCACUCAGAUUUCACUUGGGAGCUGCCAUGCUCCAAGAUCUAGAUAAAAGAGGUAUCAAACCAUACCAGUUCUGCCCAGCCCAAGUGCUCUAUAGAGUGUCUGAAGAGUAUUAGUGAGCUCACCAUCCCAAGGCCAUGAGCCUCAGGGGAUUGAUGACAUCUUUUUUCAGCCUUGGCAUGAAAUUCAACCACCCUCUCAGUUUUUCAAAGAAAAGCCAUUCCUAUGAAGUUUUGUGUGUGUGUGUGUGUGUGUGUGUGUGUGCGCGCGCGCGCACGCGCGUACGUGUGCACGCGUACGUGUGCAAGUGCAUGUGUGGUACAUAAUUGAUAGAUAUGUGUGUUCAGUAUGUUAUGUGUGGAAGUCAAAGAACAAAGUCAGAUAUCAAAGCUUGCCUUUUGCCUCAUUUGAGACAGGGUCUUUUCUUUGAGAUCUUCUCCUGAGAUUACAUUCGUGUGCUACAAUGCCAGCUUUUAAGUGGGUCCUUGAGAUUUCAAACUUGGCUCCUCCAGCUCGUUCGGUGGUUAGAACGAACUGACAUCUUAACAACCCAAAUACAAAGGACGGCAAUCCUAAGGCCCUGCCACUGGGGAACUCUGAUAAGGGAAGGCGGCUGUGGCUGCGCUGAAUUAAUGCCCUGGAGGAACUUGACCAGCUUAGACAACCCUCUGACCUGGUCACCUAGCUGCAAAGCCUCUGCCACAGCUAAAUAAAUGGCUUAGCCAAGCCCUUCCUGGCCA